rnacentral:rRNA from 1 species
AUUGAACGCUGGCGGCAUGCUUUACACAUGCAAGUCGAACGGUAACAGGGUGCUUGCACCGCUGACGAGUGGCGAACGGGUGGGUAAUGCGUCGGAACGUGCCGAGUAGUGGGGGAUAACGCAGCGAAAGUUGUGCUAAUACCGCAUACGUACUGAGGUAGAAAGUGGGGGACCUUCGGGCCUCACGCUAUUCGAGCGGCCGACGUCUGAUUAGCUAGUAGGUGAGGUAAAGGCUCACCUAGGCGACGAUCAGUAGCGGGUCUGAGAGGAUGAUCCGCCACACUGGGACUGAGACACGGCCCAGACUCCUACGGGAGGCAGCAGUGGGGAAUUUUGGACAAUGGGCGAAAGCCUGAUCCAGCCAUGCCGCGUGUCUGAAGAAAGCCUUCGGGUUGUAAAGGACUUUUGUCAGGGAGGAAAUCCCUAGUGCUAAUAACACUGGGGGAUGACAGUACCUGAAGAAUAAGCACCGGCUAACUACGUGCCAGCCGCCGCGGUAA